UUUAGAGGGCAAAAGUCAAUCUGGUAGGGAAUCAAAUGUUGUAAUCAUGACCAAUGCCCCUACCUUAGCACAAAUCCAAGAUAUAGUCCCGACAUUGAGACAGAAAAUAGGUGAAGCAAACUGACUGGCACAGGGAUCGAUGCCUGGAAACUGAAGAGUUGUGACAGUCAUGCCUCCUCUACACCGAAACCAGAGUUCGGCACUUGAACAGGGUCAGGCUAAACCCAAACCGAUAUCUGCUUGUAGCAUGCGGCCUAACCUCAUUGCAAGAGUGAAACACUAUGACCUGUCGGCCCAAUGAAUCCCAUCAUAUUCCUGCUAAUGAGUGGCAAAAUAGAAACUGUUAGCUAAAUAGGCACAACCAUCGACACCCGAUCGACCUUGGCGGUAACCGCCUUAUUGCCUGAAGAUCAACAAUAUCCGACUACCUUACCUGAAACUAAAUCAAUCCCAAUGCCCCAUUCCUAACUCCACUAGCCUCAUGAGUGGUGUCCCAUUACGAUAAACCCGCCCUAUUGCCAUUAUGUCUGACAUUACCAUUAUUGGUGAAUGCCGAAACUUCUGCUGAACCUAGUCGACGUAUAUAUCACCCUAUACAGUAACCCCCCCGAGCUGCGAUGGCCCCGACA